CCGCCGCGCGCGGCGGGCCUACGGGAGGCAGCAGUGGGGAAUAUUGCACAAUGGGCGCAAGCCUGAUGCAGCCAUGCCGCGUGUGUGAAGAAGGCCUUCGGGUUGUAAAGCACUUUCAGCGGGGAGGAAGGCGGUGAGGUUAAUAACCGCGGUCGAUGACGUUACCCGCAGAAGAAGCACCGGCUAACUCCGUGCCAGCAGCCGCGGUAAUA
rnacentral:rRNA from 1 species